GCCCCGGUAGCUCAGGCUGGUAGAGCACACGGCUGUUAACCGUGCGGUCGCCGGUUCAAAUCCGGCCUGGGGCG
rnacentral:tRNA from 1 species